rnacentral:sRNA from 1 species
GCUGGGCGCAGUGGUACACGCCUGUAAUCCCAGAGACCUGGGAGGCUGAGGCAGGAGAAUCACAAGUUCAAGGUCAACUCCGUGAGAUCCUGCCUCCA